AUCUUGUACUCCCUUGCUCUGCUCCAGGGUGUAGUUUUCUACUACAGGGCCAUCUUUGGUUUUGUCAAGGGAAAUGUAGUGAAUUCAAUAAUUGAACAGGGAGGAUUUGGUGAUCAGAGUCACACUCCAGUUUCGGAUUACUUAACUGAAACAGUGACCGGGUGUGAAAAGGAUACAUCAUUCGCUAGUGGAAGGAACCUCAUCACAUAUGCUGUGGACCUGAUGGUGUCAAAGUCACCUGAUGACUACCUUUCCGGGGUAAGGAUCCUUGACGCCUUCGCCAGACGGCUGCAGACAGUGGCCAGAGAAUGGGAAGAAGAAGGUACCCUAUACAUUCCAGACGCAAUGAAGGAAUCCAUGCAGCGGCACAUACUCAUGAAGUAUCUGACUGUGUCUGCAUCCUCUGCUGACAUACUGCAGAAACUGCUGCAGACAUUGGGCUGCAGAAGCAUAUAUGACAGAGAGACGAGGGAGCAUGGGGCGAGGAUAGUUACGAGUAUUGCGGAGGACAUCUCUCUGGAAGACUUCCCAAGGGGAAUCUUCUACAUAUCUUCCCUCAUCGGCACAUUUGAAGAAUACCGUGUACUCCAACCAUAUCAGCUAGACUGGCUAUACGCGACAUACCAACAAGAUUGGAACAAAGUUGCUCGCUGUCUGCCAUCAUCAGAUUGUGAUAAGCAAGAGGACAGUGAUGAUGAUCUUCUGAAGACCUACAAGGCGCUCGUGGUUCAAGGCUUUCGUAUCUUAGGGAAGCUCGCAACCAACAAUAACAACUGCCGAGUCAUGCUCGACACCCCAUAUCUGCUGUCAAAGAUCUUGGCGCCUCUGACCUCGGACCUACUCCAUCAAGUCGACCAUGCUGCAUGGUCCAGCAUAGUAGAAGGUUCACUGCAAGUGAUGGUCCGCCUCACAUGUGCUACAGGCCAAACUGGCACCAAGUUGCGUAGUGAAAUUUCAAACAGCGUGGAAGCUAUCAGCACCAUGGAGAGAAUACUCAAGUGUGAGAAAUGCAAUAUAAAGAUGCAGGGACAAGUUACUUGGAUUCUCGCACAACUAUACAGGGAUACAUCUAUCACUCUGGAGACUGCAAGCAGAGAAAAGUUCAUUGAGAUGCUGGUACACAUUAUGACUGAUGAUAACAACGAGGCCAGAAUAUGCUCGGAUGCAGGAUACACACUGGUGCUUCUGUCUAACAAAAUUGAAAGCAGUGUCAUGAUUAUCAUGAAGGCAAAUGAUAUUGUUGAUAAUCUCACUACAAUGAUUCUUGCAAGGCGCACAUACCAAGUAAUGGCAGCAAAACUCCUGGAAUCUCUAUGUACUCAUUACACCGGCAAUGAUGAAAGAUUCAGUAAGCUACAGAAAGCCAUGAGCAAUGCAGUUCCAAAGCUGCUUGGAGAAAUACUUUGGAUUCUAUCCCUUUGUGUCAAAGUAUGGGACACAUUGAUCAGUGUAGAUCAAGACUUGGCUCAUCAGUUUGAUGCAGUUGCCCCAAGAGAUGGAGCAUUGAGCUUUCCACGGAAGUUGAGGGAGAUUGUAAAAAGAAGUAUGCACCCCAGGGAAGAUUGCCUGAAAAUAGUGAAGCUUACCUGUAAGAUGGUCAUAUCAAUGAUGAAACACAGAGGCAGCUAUGUCAAGGAAGACCUGGAGAGCUUGAUGGAUGCAUCCAGUGCUUCAAAAGAGAUGUUUCUUCUUGAUGGCUCCAUGGUUUUCAAUGUCAUGCCCGACAGGGAACCGACACGGGAGACUUUCAGGAGCCUUGCUUCCCUUGUGAAAGAAGCGCAUGAACUUGUAGACAAACACAAUGGGCACUUAAGUACAUCGCCAUUGGGGAAUCCUGUUUAA
rnacentral:rRNA from 1 species